rnacentral:lncRNA from 1 species
UCCUCUUUAUUGCCCAUCUCAUAAUUAAGAGUACACAACUUUACAAGAACAAGCAUGAAGCAUGGAUGGGUGCAUAUAUGUGUUCGCUAGCACGCGACACUAAUUAUUUCAUUAAUUUAAUAAAUAAAUGAGUAAAGUAUAUGGCCGGUAUUUAAACUUGUGGCGUGUGGUACCACUUAGAUCCAUAAAAUUAGAAAAGGCACGUUUAGAUGCAUGAACUUGUUUUAGCGUCUAAAAUUAUGGACCUGAAUGCUAUAUUAAAAUGAGUUCAUGAAUCUGGAUUGUACAUUAAAACAAAUUCGUAGACCUGAAUAGUACAUUAAAACAAAUUUAUGGACCUAAACAUGCAUUUUCUAAGUUUAUGGACCUAAGUGGUAUCACGCCACAAGUUUAAAGACUGGUCAUGAAAUUUACUCUAAAUAAAUUAUCCAUAAUAUAACGGCGGUUAUUAUAAG